rnacentral:rRNA from 1 species
GAGGAUCUUUCGCAAUGGGCGCAAGCCUGACGAAGCGACGCCGUGUGAGCGAAGAAGGCCUUCGGGUUGUAAAGCUCUUUCGCUUGGGAACAAGAGAAGGUGGUGAAUAGCCAUCUGAUCUGAGUGUACUAGGUAAAGAAGCACCGACUAACUCCGUGCCAGCAGCUGCGGUAAUACGGAGGGUGCAAGCAUUAAUCGGAAUUAUUGGGCGUAAAGGGCGCGUAGGCAGAAUUGUAAGUCAGAUGUGAAAUGUCACAGCUUAACUGUGUCGCUGCAUUUGAAACUACAUGUCUUGAGGGUAGACGGAGAGAAUGGAAUUCCACAAGUAGCGGUGGAAUGCGUAGAUAUGCGGAGGAACACCAGUGGCGAAGGCGGUUCUCUAGUUUAUACCUGACGCUGAGGCGCGAAAGCAAGGGGAGCAAACA